AUUGAACGCUGGCGGCAGGCCUAACACAUGCAAGUCGAACGAGAGGAGGACGGGUGAGCAGGGUCUGGGAAACUGCGUGAUGUAGGGGGAAAACUGCUGGAACAGGUAGCUAAAAACGCUUACCAUCGGCUGUGCCCAGGGGGGAUGAGGUAGUAGGUGGGGUAAAGGUGCACCCAGGGGACGAUCCCUAGCUGGUCUGAGAGGAUGACCGGCCACACUGGGACUGAGACACGGUCCAGACUCCUACGGGAGGCAGCAGUGGGGAAUAUUGCACAAUGGGCGAAAGCCUGAUGCAGCCACGCCGCGUGUAUGAAGAAGGCUUUCGGGUUGUAAAGUACUUUCGGCGGGGAGGCGUUACCCGCCCAGAAAGCCCCGGCUAACUCCGUGCCAGCCGCCGCGGUAAUAC
rnacentral:rRNA from 1 species